AUGCAAGUCGAGCGGAAACGAUCCUAGCUUGCUAGGAGGCGUCGAGCGGCGGACGGGUGAGUAAUGCAUAGGAAUCUGCCCGGUAGUGGGGGAUAACUUGAGGAAACUCAAGCUAAUACCGCAUACGCCCUACGGGGGAAAGCAGGGGAUCUUCGGACCUUGCGCUAUCGGAUGAGCUUAUGUCGGAUUAGCUGGUUGGUGAGGUAACGGCUCACCAAGGCGACGAUCCGUAGCUGGUCUGAGAGGAUGAUCAGCCACAUCGGGACUGAGACACGGCCCGAACUCCUACGGGAGGCAGCAGUGGGGAAUAUUGGACAAUGGGGGCAACCCUGAUCCAGCCAUGCCGCGUGUGUGAAGAAGGCCCUCGGGUUGUAAAGCACUUUCAGCGAGGAAGAAUGCUUGUCGGUUAAUACCCGGCAAGGGAGACAUCACUCGCAGAAGAAGCACCGGCUAACUCCGUGCCAGCAGCCGCGGUAAUACGGAGGGUGCGAGCGUUAAUCGGAAUUACUGGGCGUAAAGCGUGCGUAGGCGGCUUGAUAAGCCGGUUGUGAAAGCCCCGGGCUCAACCUGGGAACGGCAUCCGGAACUGUUAGGCUAGAGUGCAGGAGAGGAAGGUAGAAUUCCCGGUGUAGCGGUGAAAUGCGUAGAGAUCGGGAGGAAUACCAGUGGCGAAGGCGGCCUUCUGGACUGACACUGACGCUGAGGUACGAAAGCGUGGGUAGCAAACAGGAUUAGAUACCCUGGUAGUCCACGCCGUAAACGAUGUCGACUAGCCGUUGGGGUCCUCGAGACCUUUGUGGCGCAGUUAACGCACUAAGUCGACCGCCUGGGGAGUACGGCCGCAAGGUUAAAACUCAAAUGAAUUGACGGGGGCCCGCACAAGCGGUGGAGCAUGUGGUUUAAUUCGAUGCAACGCGAAGAACCUUACCUACCCUUGACAUCGUGCGAACUUUCCAGAGAUGGAUUGGUGCCUUCGGGAGCGCACAGACAGGUGCUGCAUGGCUGUCGUCAGCUCGUGUUGUGAAAUGUUGGGUUAAGUCCCGUAACGAGCGCAACCCUUGUCCCUAUUUGCCAGCGAUUCGGUCGGGAACUCUAGG
rnacentral:rRNA from 1 species